GAAACAACAUGGGCGUGGUUAAAUGAUGACACAGAUUCUGAUUGGUCAGAGUGGUUAUUUCGCAGAAUUUAAAAAAUGUCAACGCAUCAGCUGCUUGUGCAUUGGCUACGUGGUGAAGAAUGUAUUUUGGCGAUACGCUCACUACAUACGCCCCUGUUUGAGGCUGUAACAUUUGUUUAGGCAGCAGUCAUGGCUUUAAGCCAUCUGCUUUUGCUCUCUUCUGACAGGAGAGUGGAGAGUUCACUGUUGCCCUGAGCGACGUCCUGAUGGCCUGGAAACACUUACUAUUAGACAAACUUCACCUGCCCCUUUACAAUGACUGUUCCUGACCAGAAAACUAUGACAUCAUCAGGAAAGAAUACGACUCCUUUCUGAAGCGCACCAACACUAUGGACUUGAUUGAUAUCCACUCUAUGUACAAACAGCUGAGGGUUGAUCCGGGAGCCUCUGAGCUCAGUCCAGCUGUUUCAGUCCAGUAACAUGGAGACCUAUGAGGUGAGGGAUUCCCUGUCCCAGGUCCCCUCGACUCAUCAAGCAAGUCAAAGCCAUGCAGCACACAGGAAAGAUGGCGAGGAGGGUCACCUGCUCCUAUCUGGAUCAGCCGGUCAACUCCAAGAACGACAUGGCCCUAGCGCACACCCUUGACACCCCUGGCAGAUCGCUCGGACGUGUAGCUUUUACUGACCUGAAACACGGAGCAAGAACAUGUCACUCUUCUUGGCUGUGACAUCAUUUGCCAGUGUGGUCCAGCUGGGAGGAAAGGGCUAUGCCCCUCCUGAGUCUGACCUGAGGAAACAUGUUAAAGGCCUGUCAGACUUUGUCCAUUUCACAGAAAAUCUGGAGGAGAUAUUGGGAGACAACCCUAACCCAAGCCUAGAUACCAUGCUAUUAACCACACCACUGCUUAUGGAGGUCGGGAGACUGAAGGUCCUGAUAGCAUUGCUGGAUGAAGAUGCUUUGGCACCGCCAUUCAGGAACAAGGCAGUCUUACUUUCUGUGGAUCAGGCUGUCCUCAGUGGGGAGGAGGGGACCUGCAUGCUCUUACUGUUCCGGUGCCCACGGGCUCCUCUCCAAAACCCCAUGCAGCCCCACGUCCAGGAGCGACAAGAUCAACUCAAACCCAAGGGCUCCACCCUCUUGGUUUGAUAAGUAGCUGGUCAGAAGAUGCUCUACUCUUCUGCUUUUGUCUAUCCCUCUGAGGGUUUGCCUGUUUACUGUGUCAUUGUAUAGCAUCCCUAGAUGUGUUCUCUUUUCAUUCAUUAUCAGUAGGCCUGGGACAAUACCAGUAUCGCAAUAUUUUUCCAUAGCAAAAAUGUAAAGGAUACAGGUUGUCUGCUGUAGCUUGGAGAUAAAAAAGAAAUGUGACAAAUAUGUUUGUUUCCAACAUUUGGGUUCUUUUCCUAAAGUGAAACACGCUUCAUGUUUUUUGUUUUUUUCCUUGCCACGAUACUGGUAUCGGCCCAAAUGAUCUUGAUAUAAACGGAUUGAUAUAACCAGCGGAUGUGGAGAGCUUCUCAGUUAGCAGUGUGGUGUUUGCAGCCUGGAAGGCUGUGGGCUUAUCGACUUGCCUCCGUGUACAUGUUUGCUGUGUUCACGAUGCGCUAGUAGAAUUGAGACCUGGUGCUAACAUGCUGUGCUCGUCAGUAACAAGUAUACCAUUCCGCAAAUACAACCUGGAUGUAGAAACUGCUUACUCCUCUAAAAACAAUGACAGUUUGAGAUUUAAAGGGGCUGGGUUGUUCUGUGAAAGACUGCUUGAACCCCUUUCAAACAUGUGUGCUAAACACAUUUUGUGGAAAUGGGCUCCUUUAUUUGAUUGCGCUAGCAGAUGUCACUUUAGCUCCCCACAUUCUGGCCGUCUUCCUGUGAGUGCGCUGUAAUGGUCCCUGGGCGGCUCACCGCUUCCUGAACUCGGCGGGCGGAAGCUUUCUGCAUCCACUUCACUUUAAAGAUGCCAUAUCAGUCACUUAACUCGACUAGUAAGGGAAACUUGAAUGGUUGUUGUCUGCUGAAUGUCUUUAUCAACCCGGGCCCCUGUCCAAUAGUUUCAUCAUACGCUGACGGCAGUCACCUGGCACACGUGCAGAUGGUCACAUUUGAGUUUUUGCAUUGUGGUUAUUUUUUCCAUGCUUUUGUGUCUGUUUCAGACAGAUUAAACACAGCAAGUUAAAUGAGCUUAAUGAUGUAUUGAAUUGCAUGAUUUGGGUGAAUGGUAUGAUAAAUUAUUGAUUGACGUCUCUGUGAUCAUUUGAUCUCUGUAACAAGAUGCCUUUCAAUGCUUUGACUUAUUCCUCUUCCCCAUGAAAUGAAAGCUGGCUCAUCAUAAGAGGAGCUGCCAUAAGAACACAAUGUGUCUGCCAACUCCUCACCUAAUAUCCUGAUCUUGCAGGUGGGCUAUUGGGCUUGUGUGCGUGCAUUCAAAAACAAACACCAGACCCCAGAACAGAGCAAUUGCUUGCACCUGCUGUUCCUUGAGGUCUCAACAGGAUGGGCUUACCUUAACCUGGCCAGGCCAACCAGUCUAUAGAGGUUGUUUUAGGACAGCCUCAGAAGCGGUGCCCCCCCCCCUGUAAUAGAACUAGAUGCUGCUCUUUCCAGCUGCUGUAAUUGGAUUAAGUGUGAGCUGUAUGUCAGGAGGACGUCAUGUCAGUCUUUUACCUCUUUGCCUGCGUUAUGUUCUCCCCUGUCCGUCAUUAUUUCUGGCUUUAGCGAGGCGUUUUUAUCAGCAUGUAACGAGGGUACGUGUACAUUUCAUGCUUGGUGAUCCGAGGGUUAAAUGUUGUUUUAGGUGCUCGUUUGAGAAGUUAUUUUGAGUUCUUUGAAUAGCCCUCUCUCUGGACUUUAAUUUCCCCCCUUUGCUUUACAGUCCCACCCAGUUUUGCACACCGUUCUUUUUUCUCCAAUGGAUUCCUCCUUCCCUACUGCUGCUGGCCUGGAGGGAGAAAUCUUUGAGUUGUGAUAAUCCCCAGCAGGCCAAGAUCAAACAGGGGAUAAAGGAGUGGAUCAGCCAGGGCCCGGUUUCCCGAUAGUGAUGGAAUUUAGGCUUACGGGUGUUUUUAACGACGACGCUUGCCUAAAACGGCUAAAUAUGUAACAUGCAUCUCCCAAAACACAACGCAGAGAGAAGGGUCGUGAAGUGCAUCUUGGAGCAUGUGUCGAGGAUGAUGGGAGCGCUGCUCUCGGAUCCGCUUUCUCCAUUCAAACAUUUCCUUAAUUAUAAAAAGUUAUUUCAAAAUACUGACAACAGAUCAGCUCCGAGAGAUAUUACUCCCAUUGCCGCACAUUUUGACACGGUUUAUUCUAAUGCCUACCCAAUAAAAAUUCAUUUAAAUCGCAGAUUUGGCGCAUGAUACAAUAGGCUACACACCAUGCAAUGUAUUGAAAUUAUACAGAGUAGCCUACAAGUAGAAACAUGUAUAACUCAAUUGAUUGAACAUAACAUUGAAAUAUACAUGUUAUCUCGAUUUUCAUUUGUAGCAUAUUUUUAUACGUCGCUUGUUUGUCAAUUGCAAAGACAACUUGGUAAUUCUGUUAUCCGUGGUCAGACGGAUAAACCAUGUGAUUCUUUGUUUUGCGGGGAUCUGUGUAUAAAGUGAUGCGGGAGGGCAAAAAAGCAUCUGACGCAUUUAGCUGUUCUACGAGUGUGAGGCAGGCGUUAGAUUACGAGCGUUUUCAAGUGCAACUUUAACGAGACAGAUUUAACGCUACUCCUACGAAGGUUCUAACAAUGAAUGUAGCUUUAAGAUGCUUUUGAGUAACCGGUCCUUGAGCCCUAUACUACGUACGUGGUUUGAGACGUUAACGGGGUAACUUUGUUCAAUUCGAGAGAGCCAGUUCCAUUGGCAAUUUUAGCAUGCCAGAUCUCAGUUUGCCUGCACGUACCAGGACGACUUGGAGCCACCCCUCAACCGCGUGCUGGACUUCCCCAGCAUCAUCCAGGGCCCCACCUGUGUGCAACAGGCUCCCAAGUGGACCCUCACUACUGUGGACUCCACCUCUGCCCAGCUCCUUGACAGCAGAGUGGAGGUUUACCCAGAGGCUGAGAGGAAAGAGGCCCAGCGAGGAGGCACGACCCGGGGGGUUGCCACAGCGCUGGGGCCCAGGAGUGGAGCUGGUGGGGGCGGUCUGAAGACCAACAUCCAGACAGAAGGAAGCAGCAAGGCCUGUAAACGGAAGCUGGUGGAUUGUAGCGAACAUUGUGGGUCAGAGAACCAGCUCCCUCUGAAAAAACCCCUCCACCACUGUAACAUCAACCAAAUUGUCAGGGAAGAAAGCCCCAAGUAAGAAGAAACUGAUUGCUGGACAGGGCAAGCCCACCAGCUUCUUCAGAUUGUAAACUAUUCAUUGUCGUGUUGAAGUAGAAUGCAGUACUAGUAAUGUUUUAUUUAAUCAAUGGUCUGUCUUCUUUGAAGCUGAAUGUUCCUGUAAUCAAUUGCACUUGUUUUUCCCCCAGUGGGGUUUGGCCUGAUUUCAGAGGCUUUAUUGUACUUUCUAUUUAUUUUUUGCCUCUGUUGUGCUUUCCAACAAUUGACAGACAUCAUCAUUUUGAAAGAAAGAUCACCAGCUGUCGUGCGUCUGUGGGAGAGUAUGAUGCAGAAGAGCUGUUGAGGCAAUGUGGAAAGUCUGAGAGUGGUUAAAACCCAAGCAGAUCUGUUUGAUAGGCGAUCUGCGGAGGCUUGGCCUGCAGUUUAUCUCCCUCUAAGACAAAAGGCCCACCGCUAGACUCUUCUCCUCUCUCACAUGCAUCUUCACUACUACUAUCAUAAACAGUAUAGAAUUUCUUAUUUUCUUCACCUGAACAAUGGUGACUUUCCAAAUGUAGCUAUAUUAUGUGACCCAGAAUUGACACGUACAACAGUUUUCAAGUUUCUCAAAACAUUUUUAAUAGUUUUAUACAUGGUUUGUGUUUUAGAACCAUGCCACAGGUGUAAGGAACACAUAAGGAAAGUGUAUCAUGUUUUGCAGGAGAUUGACAGACGGCAGGGCAGCAGUGUAGGAUCCACCACACUCUUAUGCUUGCGAACAGGGUCGGUACACUCGUCCGAUCAUGCAUCGCAGCACUGGAGGGAAUAAAAUUGGUAGAAUUGCAGUGAUUAAAAAAAUUAAAUAAUAAUAAUUUAAGCAUUAAA